CCUACGGGAGGCAGCAGUGGGGGAUAUUGCACAAUGGGGGAAACCCUGAUGCAGCGACGCCGCGUGAGUGAAGAAGUAUUUCGGUAUGUAAAGCUCUAUCAGCAGGGAAGAAAAUGACAGUACCUGACCAAUAAGCCCCGGCUAACUACGUGCCAGCAGCCGCUGUAAUACGUAGGGGGCAAGCGUUAACCGGGUUUACUGGGUGUAAAGGCAGCGUAGACGGUUAUGUAAGUCUGGAGUGAAAGCCCGGGGGCCAACCCCCGGACUGCUUUGGAUACUGUGUAACUGGAGUAAAGGAGGGGCAGGCGGAAUUCCAGGUGUAGCGGUGAAAUGCGUAGAUAUAAGGAGGAACACCAGAGGCGAAGGCGGCCUGCUGGACUGAAACUGACGUUGAGGCUCGAAAGCGUGGGGAGCAAACAGGAUUAGAUACCCGAGUAGUC
rnacentral:rRNA from 1 species